UGAAGCAGUUGGUGAAUAGUCCACGCGGUUUAUUUUCGCUGGUUUAUUUUCGUCAUCCCCACCACCGUUUUUUUUAUCAUCAUCCCAUCUCUGCCGAAAAACCUUUGCCAAAAAAAACGUCAUGCCCAGAGCAGAUCGAUCUCCGCCGCCGAUCAGCCUUCGCACGCCCGAUCCAUCCCGGUGCCCCGGCCGAUCCACCCCUACGCCCCCUCCGCGGCCGAUCCAAACCUUCGCCGUCGCGCUAGCAGGAGGCGGCUAUCUGCUGUGGGAUCGGGCGAGGUGACGCCGGCGAUCACGACCCCGAUCCGACGGCGACCCCCUUCUGCUCUUCUCCCUCUCCUCUAGGGUUUUGGUGCCGCCAUCUCCGCACUUCCAGAAAGAGAUCGGGAGAGGCUGAGCCCAGAGCUAGAUGAAGGAGAAGAGAAUGUCCAUGGAUCAUUAAGGGGCGGCGGCGACACGAGGCUGAUGAAGGUGUUUGUAGGUGGCCUGGCGUGGGAGACGAGCAAGGAGGGCGUGCGCGUCCACUUCGAACGCUUCAGCGAGAUCCUCGAGGCCGUCGUCAUCGUCGACAAGGGCACCGGCAGAUCCAAGGGCAACAGAUUCUCCUGUUAGUUGAUGCUAAGCCUGAAUGGAUGCUUGGUAAGUUACGUUCUGGAGGCGGAGGCGGCCAUCAAGACAUGGUGAAUGGCGUCCAGAGGGCCAACUGCAACCUAGCUCGCCUACCUUGGGAUCCAGAGGUCCAAGGCACCACAACCAACUGCCUCUAAAUCCAUAUUCUGGUUUAUUUCAGUUUAGUGUGGUAAUCGGCAACAACCAAGUUAACAAAUCUUAACUGAAGGUGGUGUAGCAAGCAAGCAAGAAUUGGAGAGUCUUCGGUGCAUGCUUGGAGAAGAGGCUAAGAUGAGAGGCUUCAAUCUGGAGAUGACAAGGAUAGUCACCUGGUGCAACUAAAGGUGUCAAGUAGUUGGCCAUUUGGCGGAAGUCAGGUCCAGGGGGAGACUCCGGUGUCCAGGAACUCUGCCCAGGAAAGACGUCAAUCAUAAGUUCCAGGUGCUCAGGCAAGUAGUAACAUACAAGGCCCACGAUGGAAGAGAUGGCGUUCCCAGAGAUGUGAAUCACAUGGGUGCGGCAUCAAGAAUGGAAAUUACCGAAACUCUUUCUACAGUCUUCGGUGCAUGCUUGGAGAAGAGGCUAAGAUGAGAGGCUUCAAUCUGGAGAUGACAAGGAUAGUCACCUGGUGCAACUAAAGGUUCGGUUUCAUACUUGUCAAGUUGUGAUGAUAUUCUUCAGGUGGUACUCCCUGACUGAUUUCACUUGUACUAUUGCUUCACAGAAGGUACUAAAAUAUCUUGUCAUGCUAAUAUUUAAUUUCUAGUGAUACUUUGUGAAAAUACUCAGUUUCUUAUACUAAAAUAUACAUGUUUACUUUUGUACUGAAAUGUACCUUCUUACAAAGAUUUCAUAGGAAGGAGGAGGUUAAGGGAGCAAAAGGCAUGUGGAGACAAGAGCCAGCUCAAGGAGAAGUUAACCCAUAAAUUACUUAAAUAAUAAUUUAAUAAACCUCUAAUUUACCUACAGAAUAAAAGGCCUAUGAUGAAAGAAUAGCAUCCAGAAAAAAAUACAACUAGAUAACGGUUGUAACAACAAGAAAAUAUAUGACCAAGAACAUAACUGAAGAAGUGUGAUUAAGGGGGAGCUUUGGAAUAGAUAAAAGCAGUCUCAAGCACCAAUAGGAUAUGAAAAUAGCAAUGCUCAUCCAGACUCAUCUGUUUGGUUCUAACAGUUGCAUAACUCUAGGGGUCCCUAACGGCUCUGUACAUCCCAGUCAUAGUGAAAUUUCAGUUUUCAGUUCACAAACAUCUUUCAGAGAAGUAACAUUACCACACAUGGCCAUUGCUAAACUGAAAAUGAACAUGAGGAUUGUCCAAGGUUCCACCAAAUACACAAACGACACCUGAACAGGUGCGGAAGGGCACAGAUCAGUAUGGCCCGUGUGGGGUUCGGGGAUUACCAUUUU